rnacentral:rRNA from 3 species
GAUCUAGCCAUGGGCAGGUUGAAGGUUGGGUAACACUAACUGGAGGACCGAACCGACUAAUGUUGAAAAAUUAGCGGAUGACCUGUGGCUGGGGGUGAAAGGCCAAUCAAACCGGGAGAUAGCUGGUUCUCCCCGAAAGCUAUUUAGGUAGCGCCUCGUGAAUUCAUCUCCGGGGGUAGAGCACUGUUUCGGCUAGGGGGCCAUCCCGGCUUACCAACCCGAUGCAAACUGCGAAUACCGGAGAAUGUUAUCACGGGAGACACACGGCGGGUGCUAACGUCCGUCGUGAAGAGGGAAACAACCCAGACCGCCAGCUAAGGUCCCAAAGUCAUGGUUAAGUGGGAAACGAUGUGGGAAGGCCCAGACAGCCAGGAUGUUGGCUUAGAAGCAGCCAUCAUUUAAAGAAAGCGUAAUAGCUCACUGGUCGAGUCGGCCUGCGCGGAAGAUGUAACGGGGCUAAACCAUGCACCGAAGCUGCGGCAGCGACACUGUGUGUUGUUGGGUAGGGGAGCGUUCUGUAAGCCUGUGAAGGUGUGUCGUGAGGCAUGCUGGAGGUAUCAGAAGUGCGAAUGCUGACAUAAGUAACGAUAAAGCGGGUGAAAAGCCCGCUCGCCGGAAGACCAAGGGUUCCUGUCCAACGUUAAUCGGGGCAGGGUGAGUCGACCCCUAAGGCGAGGCCGAAAGGCGUAGUCGAUGGGAAACGGGUUAAUAUUCCCGUACUUGGUGUUACUGCGAAGGGGGGACGGAGAAGGCUAUGUUGGCCGGGCGACGGUUGUCCCGGUUUAAGCGUGUAGGUGUGUGUUCCAGGUAAAUCCGGUUCACUUUAACACUGAGGCGUGACGACGAGGCACUACGGUGCUGAAGCAACAAAUGCCCUGCUUCCAGGAAAAGCCUCUAAGCAUCAGGUAACAUCAAAUCGUACCCCAAACCGACACAGGUGGUCAGGUAGAGAAUACCAAGGCGCUUGAGAGAACUCGGGUGAAGGAACUAGGCAAAAUGGUGCCGUAACUUCGGGAGAAGGCACGCUGACACGUAGGUGAAGUGAUUUACUCAUGGAGCUGAAGUCAGUCGAAGAUACCAGCUGGCUGCAACUGUUUAUUAAAAACACAGCACUGUGCAAACACGAAAGUGGACGUAUACGGUGUGACGCCUGCCCGGUGCCGGAAGGUUAAUUGAUGGGGUCAGCGCAAGCGAAGCUCCUGAUCGAAGCCCCGGUAAACGGCGGCCGUAACUAUAACGGUCCUAAGGUAGCGAAAUUCCUUGUCGGGUAAGUUCCGACCUGCACGAAUGGCGUAAUGAUGGCCAGGCUGUCUCCACCCGAGACUCAGUGAAAUUGAACUCGCUGUGAAGAUGCAGUGUACCCGCGGCAAGACGGAAAGACCCCGUGAACCUUUACUAUAGCUUGACACUGAACAUUGAGCCUUGAUGUGUAGGAUAGGUGGGAGGCUUUGAAGUGUGGACGCCAGUCUGCAUGGAGCCGACCUUGAAAUACCACCCUUUAAUGUUUGAUGUUCUAACGUGGACCCGUUACCCGGGUUGCGGACAGUGUCUGGUGGGUAGUUUGACUGGGGCGGUCUCCUCCUAAAGAGUAACGGAGGAGCACGAAGGUUGGCUAAUCCUGGUCGGACAUCAGGAGGUUAGUGCAAUGGCAUAAGCCAGCUUGACUGCGAGCGUGACGGCGCGAGCAGGUGCGAAAGCAGGUCAUAGUGAUCCGGUGGUUCUGAAUGGAAGGGCCAUCGCUCAACGGAUAAAAGGUACUCCGGGGAUAACAGGCUGAUACCGCCCAAGAGUUCAUAUCGACGGCGGUGUUUGGCACCUCGAUGUCGGCUCAUCACAUCCUGGGGCUGAAGUAGGUCCCAAGGGUAUGGCUGUUCGCCAUUUAAAGUGGUACGCGAGCUGGGUUUAGAACGUCGUGAGACAGUUCGGUCCCUAUCUGCCGUGGGCGCUGGAGAACUGAGGGGGGCUGCUCCUAGUACGAGAGGACCGGAGUGGACGCAUCACUGGUGUUCGGGUUGUCAUGCCAAUGGCACUGCCCGGUAGCUAAAUGCGGAAGAGAUAAGUGCUGAAAGCAUCUAAGCACGAAACUUGCCCCGA